rnacentral:rRNA from 1 species
AGAGUUUGAUCCUGGCUCAGGAUGAACGCUAGCGGCAGGCUUAACACAUGCAAGUCGAAGGGCAACGGGGAGAGUGCUUGCACUCUCUGCCGGCGACUGGCGCACGGGUGAGUAACACGUAUGCAACCUGCCCUCCACAGGGGGACAACCUUCCGAAAGGGAGGCUAAUCCCGCGUAUAUCCCUUGGGGGCAUCCUUGGGGGAGGAAAGGAUUACCGGUGGAGGAUGGGCAUGCGGCGCAUUAGGCAGUAGGCGGGGUAACGGCCCACCUAACCGACGAUGCGUAGGGGUUCUGAGAGGAAGGUCCCCCACACUGGUACUGAGACACGGACCAGACUCCUACGGGAGGCAGCAGUGAGGAAUAUUGGUCAAUGGGCGGGAGCCUGAACCAACCAAGCCGCGUGAAGGAAGAAAGCGCCAAGCGUCGUAAACUUCUUUUGUCGGGGAACAAAGGGCGCCACGUGUGGCGUUGUGAGUGUACCC